UACGUAGGGGGCUAGCGUUGUCCGGAAUCAUUGGGCGUAAAGAGCGUGUAGGCGGUCCGGUAAGUCCGCUGUGAAAGUCGGGGGCUCAACCCUCGAAUGCCGGUGGAUACUGUCGGGCUAGAGUACGGAAGGGGCAGAGGGAAUUUCCGGUGGAGCGGUGAAAUGCGUAGAGAUCGGAAAGAACACCAACGGCGAAAGCACUCUGCUGGGCCGACACUGACACUGAGAGACGAAAGCUAGGGGAGCGAAUGGG
rnacentral:rRNA from 1 species